AGCAGUAGCCACGGUAAUACAGAGGAUGCAAGCGUUAUCUGGAAUGAUUGGGCGUAAAGCGACUGUAGGUGGCUUUUCAGGUCCGCAGUCAAAUCCCAAGGCUCAACCCUGGACAGGCGGCGGAAACUACCAAGAUGGAGUACGGUAGGGGCAGAGGGAAUUUCCGGUGGAGCGGUGAAAUGCGUUGAGAUCGGAAAGAACACCAACGGUGAAAGCACUCUGCUGGGCCGACACUGACACUGAGAGACGAAAGUUAGGGGAGCAAACAGGAUUAGAUACCCCAGUAGUCCCUGUCUCUUAUAC
rnacentral:rRNA from 1 species